AUCGAACGCUGGCGGCAGGCCUAAUACAUGCAAGUCGAGCGGAGUGGCGGACGGGUGGGUAAUCCCUAGGAAUCUGCCUGGUAGUGGGGGAUAUCGUCCGGAAACGGGCGCUAAUACCGCAUAUUAUCAGAUGAGUCUAGGUCGGAUUAGCUAGUUGGUGGGGUAACGGCCUACCAAGGCGACGAUCCGUAACUGGUCUGAGAGGAUGAUCAGUCACACUGGAACUGAGACACGGUCCAGACUCCUACGGGAGGCAGCAGUGGGGAAUAUUGGACAAUGGGCGAAAGCCUGAUCCAGCCAUGCCGCGUGUGUGAAGAAGGUCUUCGGAUUGUAAAGCUCUUUAAGUUGGGAGGCGUUACCAACAGAAUAAGCACCGGCUAACUUCGUGCCAGCAGCCGCGGUAAUAC
rnacentral:rRNA from 1 species